rnacentral:rRNA from 1 species
CCUACGGGAGACAGCAGUGGGGGAUAUUGCACAAUGGGGGGAACCCUGAUGCAGCGAAGCCGCGUGGGUGAAGAAGCGCCUCGGCGCGUAAAGCCCCGUCAGCAGGGAAGAAAAUGACGGUACCUGAAGAAGAAGCCCCGGCUAACUACGAGCCAGCAGCCGCGGUAAUACGUAGGGGGCAGGCGUUAUCCGGAUUUACUGGGUGUAAUGGGGGCGCAGACGGUGAUGCAAGCCAGGAGUGAAAGCCCGGGGCGCAACCCCGGGACUGCUCUGGGAACUGCGUGGCUGGAGUGCAGGAGGGGCAGGCGGAAUGCCUGGUGUAGCGGUGAAAUGCUUAGAUAUCAGGAGGAACACCGAUUGCGAAGGCGGCCUACUGGACUGAAACUGACGUUGAGGCCCGAAAGCGUGGGUAGCGAACAGGAUUAGAUACCCUAGUAGUC